ensembl:lncRNA
AUUGCUGCACUGGCGAUUUAUGUAACAAUGCGAAGAACAUCGGAUCAAGUUUCAUCCUUGUGCUGUUGUCUACCGCUGCACUGUAUUUCCUCUGAUCAGUUGGUUUGUGUGCACUCUAGAAACUUGGGGCCAGAUUCACAAAGGAGUCUCAAAAUAAUAUAAUCCUGUGCAUUACCUGGAGAUUAUGCUAUAUACUAGAAUAUUCCUAUUGAAGGUUCUUUACUGCAAUUCCUCAAUAACUUCCUCUUCCUCUCAUUACACUUAAGAAAUGUUUUUCAAGUCUUUCCAACUUUUAUAAUUUGGGCAUCUGUGAAGAUGCGUGUAAAUCAAUAGCUUGUAAUCUCUAAAGUGAAAAGGUAAAAUCCUAACAAUUGAUAAACUAAUUUGUAGUUAAGCAUAGCGUUUAGCAGCUUAGACCUAUGUCUUUUUCUUUAUUAUAAUAUCAAUACAAUUCGUAGAGUUGUCCUUUGUGUAAUUUUAAAAUGUUCAGAUUAACUUGCCACUAUCAUUCAAAUAUUUUAAACUGUUUAAGAUAUUCUACUAUAUUAUAUUAAGAUAUUCUACUAUAAAUAUUUUCUUUUACAAAGGAAGUCAAAGGCCCAUUGACUCCCAGUAGCUGACACUUCAACUACUUCAGACUUUGUAACUUCAUUUUUUAACUGUUAACCUUCAUUAAAACAUCUAACAAACACACUUGUAUCUUCAAUCAUAAAGCAUUUCUCUAUCACUUUGCUUUUUUCAGUAUCAGUUUAAUUUCUUACCUGCCUCAUACCCAUCGUUUUUUAUGACUUUACACACUCCAGCUUGGAGUGUGUGCAGUCCAUUAGCAUUUUAAUAGUGAAUAAAGUAUUGGUGAGUUAAAGGUUGGGUAUGGAAUUCGCUUUUUUGGCCAUUUUUGCAAAAUUACUUGAAAUCCUUAUCUUAACCCACUUACAGCCACUGAGUUAGAAGUACUGACAUGAAAAUUAAACAAGUCAAUCAUCUGUGGAACGGGCAGGGCUCGAAAAACUCCAGCCAAUGAUUUCCAGAGCCACCGAGUUGCAUUGGACAGUAAGUACGUCAAUCAAACGGUCGCACUGCAAUCCCACUCCCCUCGCGACCCCUUCGUGCACGUACUCAAAGCUCGUGACCCAGAGCAAGCUUCUGUUUGUUGUUAUCCUGCGGUAGCUACUGGAGCUAGCUACCUAGCUAAUGGCUCGCUCUCGCGCAUCUGUGUUUCGCUCGUGCAUGAUUGCGCGUCCAUGUACUUGGAAUGGGUGGAGUCAGAGUCAGCGUUGAAGGAGAGGGGGUAGGACCAUUUGAGUUGUUUAUUUUCAAAAUCUGCUGCCGUUUCGCAAAUCCUAUACCCCUUUAACUCAUGAUAGAUACUCAUGAUUUGGGAAUUGUAAUCAGGCAGUCACUUACUGCAAGUGUUAUUCAAAUUAAGAAACCAAAAAACAAGAAAAAAAAAAGAAUGUGCAUUAACGCAUACAUUUUUAUCAAAUUAAACUAAGAUUGCGUUACCGCGUUAUUAUCUAUCAAUCUAUUAUCCUAAUUGUUAUAUAUCAGCCGUUUGUGUGCUGGAACCCCCAUUUAUAUGGUUAGAGACUAAGUGCUUGCUACGUAUCCGGUUUACUCCCGGUAGAAGCUAAAUGCUUGAAAACUAUCUUUUGAA